rnacentral:misc_RNA from 1 species
GAUGAAGAACGUAGCGAAAUGCGAUAAGUAAUGUGAAUUGCAGAAUUCAGUGAAUCAUCGAAUCUUUGAACGCACAUUGCGCCCGCCAGUAUUCUGGCGGGCAUGCCUGUUCGAGCGUCAUUUCAACCAUCAAGCCCCCGGCUUGUGUUGGGGACCUGCGGCUGCCGCAGGCCCUGAAAACCAGUGGCGGGCUCGCUGUCACACCGAGCGUAGUAGAUUUUCAUCUCGCUCAGGGCGUGCUGCGGGUUCCGGCCGUAAAAAGCCUUAUUUACCCAAGGUUGACCUCGGAUCAGGCAGGAAGACCCGCUGAACUUAAGCAUAUCAAUAAGCGGAGGA